GAGCCUGCCGGGCGUGUCACCACCCCGCACCUGGAGUCAUGCGUGUGCCCCACCUGAGCACCUGGGAGGCUAGUUUGCAUCAAGGGGGCAUCUGAAAGCCCCGCUACGCAGGCGCACAGGUCUGCCCUUGCCCUUCCCCCUCUCCCUAGGGUUUCUGUUCAAAGUGAUUGGAAGUAGCUGCUUCAGGGACGCGAUCCCAAACCACCCAAAGAACAUCCAGCCUGAUCCCAUGCUCCCUUUACUUCCUGCCCCAGGCCCCCUUACCUCCCGCCGCUGCAGGGCAGGUGCAGAGUCCACAGCAGCCCAGAGCGCGCUCUCCACGAGGUCUCAUGCCCAGGCUCUGGGAAUCAAACCCAGGUCCUCUGGAGGAGCAGCCAGUGCUUUUAACCCUGGAGCCAUCUCUCCAG
rnacentral:lncRNA from 1 species